rnacentral:rRNA from 1 species
GACGAACGCUGGCGGCGUGCUUAACACAUGCAAGUCGAACGGAAAGGCCCUGCUUUUGUGGGGUGCUCGAGUGGCGAACGGGUGAGUGACACGUGAGUAACCUGCCCUUGACUUUGGGAUAACUUCAGGAAACAGGGGCUAAUACCGGAUAGGAGCUCCUGCUGCAUGGUGGGGGUUGGAGAGUUUCGGCGGUUUGGGAUGGACUCGCGGCUUAUCCGCUUGUUGGUGGGGUAGGGGCAUACCAAGGGUUCGACGGGUAGCCGGCCUGGGAGGGUGACCGGCCACAAGGGGACUGAGAGAGGCAGCAGAAUCCAACGGGAGGCAGCGGGGGGGAAUAUUGCGCAGUGGGCGGAAGCCUGAGGCAGCAGCGUCGGGAGCGGGAUGACGGCUUUCGGGUUAUGAACCACUGUCGCCGGUGACGAAGCGUGAGUGACGGUAAUGGGUAAAGAAGCACCGGCUAACUACAUG